AUAAAAGACUCCAAGGUCGUUGGAGAACAAGGACAUCCGGAGCACUCCCUGCGCCGGAUACGUCCGUGUUGCUAGGCCCAUGACCCUGUAACCAAGGUAAGUAUUUUAGUAUUGUUUCUGUCUUUUUUCAGUCGUUGGAGUAAAGGACAACGUCCGUUACCCAAGGUACUCGUGGGAAGACGAGGACUACCGGGGCAUCCCUUGCACCAGAGACAUCCGGAUUCCCAGGUGAGUAGUGAGGUAAGUAUUGUUAUGAGCAAUGAUGUGUGUGUUGGUGCGGAUGAGGGGUGAAACCAGGAGGGUCCCCAAUGGGCGGAGCGCGAGCCGUGUGUGGACCAGAGGCACAGGCGGGUUAGGGUUGGGGUUGGGGUUGGGGUUAGGGUUAGAGUUAGGAGUUAGGGUUAGGUAUAAAGAGAAGGAGAGAUGGGUAGGUGUUAGGUAUAAAGAAAAGAGAGAUGGGUAGGUUUUAGGAGUGAAAAAGGAGAGUGGUUAGGGUUAGGGUAAGGGGUGGGGGAAGGGCGAUAAAAGAGUGUAAAAAAGAAUAUAAGAGGGGUGUGCACGGUCCGUCUAUGGCCCAGCGGGCUCGCACUCACGCCUCAUUGAGGCCCCCCGGAUGUUUGGUCCCCAACUUUGUGAUCCACAGGCGUUCGGCACGCUUCCGUUGGGCCACACUCCAUCUCGCGUUGGUCUGCACAACGCACACCCGAACAGAAGUCCACCCGUGCCGGAUAAAAUGUUGUACCAGCGGCCGGAAGACUUUACCGCUGUGGCGGUUCAAAAGCCAGGGGAUGUGCUGUAGGGGAAUGUUGCUCCUGGUUAAGGGCGGAUUCCCGGGGGGACUGACUCGGGCCCUGAUCAGCAACUCACCCAAGCUAGGAUUUUUGCGGAACGCCGACACCAGGUAAUAUUCUUUCAGUCGUUCACUCUUCUCCACGAAGGUCCUGAAAUUUUCCUUCACUUUUCUAGCGAUAUGUGUCGCUGCCGGUGAAAAAGUGGUAAUGAAGGGGAUCAUAUGUGUACCAAGGGGAGGCUUCUUCGGGUCCAGGAAACACCUGAAUUGUCUCCUGAGGAAGGUUCUCGAAUACCCCCUCUUCCUCAGGGCGGAAAACAGGGUUCCAGUGGCCGUAAUGAAGUCCUCCCGCCUGGUACAGAUCCGGUGGAACCUUAACAAUUGUGACUUGACCAGUCCCGCGUAGGUGUGUCGGGGGUGGAAACUGGUCUUAUGGAGGAGGGCAUGGGUGUCAGUCUGUUUGAAAAAGACCUUAAUGUCCAAAUGGUGGGUGGAUGGGAAGUCCGGGCCCUUGAAGGUAGUGGUAUCAAGGAAGUCCACCGAUACAGGACUGGUGGUGGACUUGAUGGUUAUGUUGGGGUUGUGGGUGUUGAGAGUGUGGAGGAAGACCUGGAAGUCAUCCAAUGAGUGCGUCCACACACCCCAGAUAUCGUCGAGGUACCGGAAAUAUUUGAAGGGCUGAAUUGGGCAGGCAGCGAGGGCCGAGGUCUCCCAUUCUGCCAUAAAUAUAUUUGCGUAGGCCGGGGCAAACUUUUUCCCCAUGGCCGUGCCUUUUAUUUGUAAGUAGAACUUUCCAUUAAACUCGAAGUCAUUCCUCCUCAGGUUGAUUUCGAGCAGUUGCAGGAGUUCCUUCUCCGGCCUGCUAACAUCUCUGUAUUUAUGGAAAAUGUUUUUGACGGCUUGGAUGCCCUGUUGUAUAUCUAUAUUGGUGUAGAGGCUAUCUAUAUCUAUUGUGAAUAAAAUAGAUUCCUGGGGAAUGACUAUGUUUUUUACUGUAUCGAUAAAGUGGUAUGUAUCUUUAAGAUAACUCUGGUGUUUAAUGGAAAGUGGGGUCAAGUAGUGGUCAAUAUAUUCGGCCGUCCUAUAAGUUUCACUCCCGCAGUCGGAAACAAUAGGUCUGCCAGGGGGAAUUUCGUAGGGCCGGCUCCACUUCUGUGGUUCCUUAUGAAUUUUGGGCAGUAAAUAGAAUCUGCGGGGACGGGGUUCCGGUUCACCCAGGAGGUAAGUAUGUUGUUUACUAUUGAUGAACCUUUUAUUUAAUAAAUUAUUAAUUAUUUUUUCUAUCAUAGGGAUAGUGUCAAAGUAAAUAGGGGCGGCCAAUGGGGAGUAAUAGGUGGUAUCGUUAAGUUGUCUGGUGCCCUCCCAGAUAUACUGAGCCCUGUCGAAAAUAACGACUGCGCUUCCCUUGUCUGCCGGUUUUAAAACUAUGUUGUUAUUCUU